UUUCACAUCACAUGUAGAAGUACACAGGAAUGUGGCUAAUCACUUUUUAUUUGUAGUUUACCUGAGUGUCCUUGCACUUUUCAGGAGUUAAGGCAGAUGUGGAGGCACACGGGUGACACCAGACACACACCAAGCACAUUAUGUUCGGACAUUCAAUCAUGACAUGAUCCAUGUGGAGGCUGUCCAUUGAGGAAAGAGUUUGUUCAGAGGUAAGUAAAUCUUCUGUAUUUUAAUGUAAUUAGGUGUGGAACAGUAGAAUAAGAGCAAAAGGUUUCAGAAUAGGAGUAAAUUCAGGGCUGAGUUUAGUUUUAUUUUUUAAGAAUCUUUUUCUAUCUUGUAUUUGUUGCCUUAAUGUUUAUGAUAUUUCUAACAAGUUUCUGGACAGAAUUAAUCCCAAAGAUGGGAAAAAGUGCACAUCCAGACAAGGAGCAAGCAAAAAGACAAGGAACUUGGUGCAGAGAAAAGCUGUGGCCAUUAACCCCCAUGUGAACAGCUUCAUGCAGUCCCUGAUAGAGUUUGAAUGGGCGACUUCAAACUAAAGGCCAGUGUCUGUGUGCCACAGUUUAAUGCAUUUAUUUUAGUGUUCAAUGAAAUUCAAAUAGAAUAUUUAAAACUAUGGGCCAGUGUUCUUUUUACCACAGUGAAAUGUUACCUUUUAGUCGAUGAUGGACUUUAAACUGAAAACUUCAAACUAUGGAACAGUGUUCUAUUUGCCAGAGUUAAAUAUGUUACACAGGGGCCUCCAAACUUGUUUAUACUUUAUAAUAUUUUAUUUUAUUUUACUUGUUUAUUAUUGUUUAUCUCGUUUUAAAUGUUUUGUUUCAAUUACAUGUUUUUUUAAAUAAAAUGUUUGAAAUAAA